rnacentral:rRNA from 1 species
UACGUAGGGGGCAAGCGUUGUCCGGAUUUAUUGGGCGUAAAGAGCUCGUAGGCGGUUUGGUAAGUCGGAUGUGAAAUCUCCAGGCUCAACCUGGAGGGGUCAUUCGAUACUGCCAUGACUAGAGUUCGGUAGGGGAGUGUGGAAUUCCUGGUGGAGCGGUGAAAUGCGCAGAUAUCAGGAGGAACACCGGUGGCGAAGGCGGAUCUCUGGGCCUGUUCUGACGCUGAGGCGCGAAAGCUAGGGGAGCGAACAGG